rnacentral:misc_RNA from 1 species
CAGAGUGUUCAUGCCCUCUGGGCAGACCUCCCACCCACUGUUAUCUCUACGACCGUUGCUUUGGCGGGAUGCCGGGCCCUCCCGGCCGCCAGCCCGCUGGCGCGCGCCCGCCAGAGGCUCCGCAGACUCUGUAUGUUUGUGUCGUCUGAGUGUCACAUAAUCGUUA